CAUAGUCAAUUGUUUUUUUGACUUUAUCUCUCUGACUUUAUUUCCUAGUUAAUGAAUAAUUAAUUACGCAUUUCUUUGCGCAUUUUUUAAUUAAUUUUAAUUCAUCUAAUGAAGGCGUAUCGAUAAUUUAUGAGAGGAGUUAAAACGAUUCGUAGGUGAAUUGUUUUUCAAAAUCGACGAUCGGAUUAAUCGAAUCAAUUAUCCAGGUAUAUUGUAGGAUUCCACUCGUAUCUGCUUAAUUUGUUUAAUUUAUUGUUGAACGAUGCGGAAUGCGAGGUGUAAUGUACAAACAGAGGCUGGAAUUUCAUAAAAGCAGAUUUGUUCGAAAAUUCGGUCGAUGAUAUGUCGGAGAGUUACGAAGGAGGAACAAACGUGACUGCAUGCUAAUUCGCGUCGUUUGAAGAGUCGGAGCAGACCUUUAGGAGGAUCCUUCAGGAUCUCCUCUCCGUUUAAACGAGCGUCGCAGGACGAAAGGGGCUAAAUGAGUAUGGAAAAGGGCUAUGGGGAGGAAAAAAAAGGCGAGCAUCGCGACGUCGAGUGGCGAGGACAAAUUGGUAGUCCGUGGAAGAGGAAGAAUGGAGGGAAAGAA